rnacentral:rRNA from 1 species
GAUACCGCCCUAGUUCUAACCAUAAACGAUGCCAACCAGCGAUCCGCCUGGGUUCCUCAAAUGACUCGGCGGGCAGCUUCCGGGAAACCAAAGUGUUUGGGUUCCGGGGGGAGUAUGGUUGCAAAGCUGAAACUUAAAGGCAUUGACGGAAGGGCACCACCAGGUGUGGAGCCUGCGGCUUAAUUUGACUCAACACGGGAAAACUUACCCGGCCCGGACACUGGAAGGAUUGACAGAUUAAGAGCUCUUUCUUGAUUCAGUGGGUGGUGGUGCAUGGCCGUUCUUAGUUGGUGGAGCGAUUUGUCUGGUUAAUUCCGAUAACGAACGAGACUCUAGCCUACUAAAUAGGCGUCCCGAUCCCUUGCGUCGGGCGCUCUUCUUAGAGGGACAAGCGGCUUUUAGCCGCACGAGACAGAGCAAUAACAGGUCUGUGAUGCCCUUAGAUGUCCGGGGCCGCACGCGCGCUACACUGAAGGAAUCAGCGUGUGCUCUCCCUGUCCGCCAGGACUGGGUAACCCGUUGAACCUCCUUCGUGAUAGGGAUAGGGGCUUGUAAUUGUUCCCCUUGAACGAGGAAUACCCAGUAAGCGCGAGUCAUAAGCUCGUGUUGAUUAUGUCCCUGCCCUUUGUACACACCGCCCGUCGCUACUACUAAU